GCCCGGGUGGCGGAAUGGCAGACGCAGGGGACUUAAAAUCCCUGUCCGAAAGGGCGUGUGGGUUCAAGUCCCACCCCGGCA
rnacentral:tRNA from 1 species